UCCGUAGCAUAAGUCUCGGGACAAGAUUGUAAAUGAUCUUUUCCGUAGGUGAACACUUACCGAAGCCUUAGCUCCCCGAAAGGGUUGAAUCUCACGACUGUAAACAACGAAGAUUUUGUAAUAGCUAGUCUAUGGGCCGCCGCAUCAGGGGCCCGAUAGGCGACACUAUCAAAUUGCGGGAACACCCUAAAGAUCUUGACACCAAGCGCAGUCGGGAAACCGCUGCGUGGCCGAGCUAACAGCCCUGGGUAUGGUAACAGUUCAAGAUAUGAUCGGGGAGAGCAGUCUCCCGGUGAAAUGGGCAAUCCGCAGCCAAGUCCUAACGCUGAUGGUUUUCAGAAGCUACGGAUGCUGUUCACAGGCCAAAUGGUAGUGGGUAAAACCCGGUCCUUUGACGGUUUUGCUUAAGAUAUGGUCGGUCCUCUUGCGAAAGCUCGGGGGUAAGUUUCACCAAGAAAUUUUGAUAACGUUCCGUAGGUGAACCUUCGGAAGGAUCAUUACUGAGUUAGGGUCCUCUGGGCCCGACCUCCAACCCUUUGUCUAUAAACCUUUGUUGCUUUGGCAGGCCCGUCCUUCGGGACCGCCGGGGGUGUUCAGUCACCUCUGGCCCGCGCUUGCCAAUAGCCUAUUCAAAAUCCUUUUUUAACCAUGAAGUCUGAGAAUUAAUUAUAAAUAUAAUUAAAACUUUCAACAACGGAUCUCUUGGUUCUGGCAUCGAUGAAGAACGCAGCGAAAUGCGAUAAGUAAUGUGAAUUGCAGAAUUCAGUGAAUCAUCGAAUCUUUGAACGCACAUUGCGCCCUUUGGUAUUCCGAAGGGCAUGCCUGUUCGAGCGUCAUUAUCAACCAUCAAGCCCGGCUUGUUAUUGGGUUCCCGUAUCGUUAAAGAUAGGCCCGAAAGAUAAUGGCGGCGUCCAGAAUGACCCCAGAUGCAGCGAGCUUUAAGCAUACAUCGAGGUGGUGUUCUUGGCCUGGCCUUUUGAAAUUUCAUUCUUAUGGAUUUCAUUUUUUCUAAGGUUGACCUCGGAUCAGGUAGGAAUACCCGCUGAACUUAAGCAUAUCAAUAAGCGGAGGA
rnacentral:rRNA from 1 species